rnacentral:rRNA from 1 species
CCUACGUGGUGCAGUAGUGGGGAAUAUUGCACAAUGGGGGAAACCCUGAUGCAGCGACGCCGCGUGAGUGAAGAAGUAUUUCGGUAUGUAAAGCUCUAUCAGCAGGAACGAGACAAGACGGUAGCUGACUAAGAAGCACCGGCUAACUACGUGCCAGCAGCCGCGGUACUACGUAGGGGGCAAGCGUUAUCCGGAUUAACUGGGUGUAAAGGGAGUGUAGACGGCUGUGCAAGCCUGAUGUGAAAGGCGGGGGCCCAACCCCUGGACUGCUUUGGAAACUGUACGGCUGGAGUGCAGGAGAGGUGAGUGGAAUUCCUAGUGUAGCGGUGAAAUGCGUAGAUAUUAGGAGGAACACCAGUGGCGAAGGCGGCUUACUGGACUGUAACUGACGUUGAGGCUCGAAAGCGUGGGGAGCAAACAGGAUUAGAUACCCUGGUAGUC